CGCACCCGUCAGCUCUCAGACCCGACGAGCAAAGCGUUCAGACCGGUGGGUGAUACCUGCAUGGCUUUUCAACGAUAGUGACAACUAAGGAACACCGAGGGGCUGACACACACCGUGGUGGUUUUAUUUCUGCUGGACAGGUCACCUGUAGUCAUUCAUAGUCCUGUACUUCUCACCAGUAUACGCUGAUCGGACCAUGCUGGCUGGCCUGGAUUACAACCACUGUGUCCACAGUCCAGCCAGGAGAAAAGCUGAUGACACAGUUCAGUACAGCAAGGUGAACAACAAAAAGUCCAGGAAGUGGAGAUUGUACUCAUUGAAGGUGGAGG